rnacentral:rRNA from 1 species
UACGGAGGGUGCAAACGUUGCUCGGAAUCACUGGGCGUAAAGCGCACGUAGGCGGCUCGAAAAGUCGGAUGUGAAAGCCCUGGGCUCAACCUAGGAAGUGCAUUCGAAACUGCCGAGCUUGAGUACGGGAGAGGGUUGCGGAAUUCCCGGUGUAGAGGUGAAAUUCGUAGAUAUCGGGAGGAACACCAGUGGCGAAGGCGGCAGCCUGGACCGAUACUGACGCUGAGGUGCGAAAGCGUGGGGAGCAAACAGG